AACUGAUACUACCUGCGGGAACCUGCGGAAGGAUCAUUACCGAGUUAUCAACUCCCAAACCCCUGUGAACAUACCUGAACGUUGCCUCGGCGGGACCGCCCCGGCGCCCUAGCGGCCCGGAACCAGGCGCCCGCCGGAGGACCCAAACUCUUGCUUUGAACAGUGGCAUACUCUCUGAGUCUCACAAACAAAAAUAAAUUAAAACUUUCAGCAACGGAUCUCUAGAUCGGAAGAGCACAC
rnacentral:misc_RNA from 1 species